UUUAAAGAUUUAAAGUACCACCUGCUCAAUGCUUUUAGUAAAUAGCCGCAGUAUUUUGACUGUGCUAAGGUAGCAUAAUCAUUAGUCUUUUAAUUGGAGGCUGGUAUGAAUGGUAAGACGAGAAAGAAACUGUCUCCUAGUAAGUAACGAAAUUCAUUUUUUAGUGAAAAAGCUAAAAUAAUUCUAAGGGACGAUCAGACCCUAUGGAGCUUUAUUUUAGUCCUAAAUUGAAUCUAAAAAGCUUAAUUUAAGAUUUUCAAAAUUUUGUUGGGGCGACAGAGAGAAAAAAGUAACACUCUUUUUAACUAACACUUUUCAGUGAAUUAUUGAUCCCCCGGGUGGGAUUAAAAGAAUAAGUUACCCUAGGGAUAACAGCGUAAUUUUUUUGGAGAGUUCAGAUCGAUAAAAAAGUUUGCGACCUCGAUGUUGGAUUAGGAAUUUAGUUAGGUGCAGAUGUUUAACUGUAGAGUCUGUUCGACUUUUGAAUCCU
rnacentral:rRNA from 2 species